rnacentral:misc_RNA from 1 species
GUUUUUUCAAAAUCAGGACAGUUCUUGGUUGCUGCAGUAGGGCAGGAACCUCGCCUAGGAAGGUGGGGGCGUAUUGCUGAUGUUCGAAAUGGAGUUUUUGUGCAUCCUUUGAAGCAUUCGUGAUACUGAGCUUGUUGGUCAUUGUCCACUUCGGCUCAUGCUAAAAGGAGGAAUAGCCUUCUCUGUACUUUCUUGUGAGGUCAAUAUUUAUUUUUAUGUUGGCAAAAAUUUUGAUAUAUUUU